rnacentral:rRNA from 1 species
GACGAACGCUGGCGGCGUGCCUAACACAUGCAAGUCGAGCGGGGUGAUGGUGCUUGCACUAUCACUUAGCGGCGGACGGGUGAGUAAUGCUUAGGAAUCUGCCUAUUAGUGGGGGACAACAUCUCGAAAGGGAUGCUAAUACCGCAUACGUCCUACGGGAGAAAGCAGGGGAUCACUUGUGACCUUGCGCUAAUAGAUGAGCCUAAGUCGGAUUAGCUAGUUGGUGGGGUAAAGGCCUACCAAGGCGACGAUCUGUAGCGGGUCUGAGAGGAUGAUCCGCCACACUGGGACUGAGACACGGCCCAGACUCCUACGGGAGGCAGCAGUGGGGAAUAUUGGACAAUGGGGGGAACCCUGAUCCAGCCAUGCCGCGUGUGUGAAGAAGGCCUUAUGGUUGUAAAGCACUUUAAGCGAGGAGGAGGCUCUUUUGGUUAAUACCCAAGAUGAGUGGACGUUACUCGCAGAAUAAGCACCGGCUAACUCUGUGCCAGCCGCCGCGGUAA